GGCUUUUUAUGUGAACGCUGGGAGCCGACCCCUAGGUCUGAAGAGCCGUUUAGAUGAUUCAGUAGCUGAGAAAUAACUGUGGAAAGGCAUUGGAGUGUUUAAUAUUGAGAAUAAAUUGAAGGGCUUAUGCUGAUGGGAAAUUUAGCCGAAUAAGGGUAAUGGGAUUUAAAAAAAAAAAAAAAAAAAAAAAAAAAAAAAAAAAAAAAAAAGAGAGAAAAAAGGGCUUGUGAGUCGAGUCAUGUGUAAAAUCGAAAAUGAAAGUUAGUUCCGUCCUAACUUCCGGUCGGAGGAGGCUGCCGCGGCUCUGCAGUUCUGUACACCAAUAUGUCUUUCUUCAAAAUUCCGGGAGGAACAAAAACACAGGUUUUCUCAAUCAAUGAAAGUAGGAAAUUCUUGGAUGUCCAAAGUAAGAUUGAGGAACGGUUGAAGAAACGCGUUCAGCUCCAUCAAGUGGCUUCAGAGGAUUAUUGUGAUGUCAUCAUGGCUUUUGUACCCAUUGUGUCCCGGGCUGGAACAGACAUUGCAGCUGCUCUUCGAAAUAUUCCAACAAAUCGGCCUGUCAUCCUCGUGGUGCUCCACCACACGUUUGAUGAAAAUCACAUUGCACCACAGAGCAAAGGGUGUGUGGAUAGGGAUGGUGUAUUUGCCGUAGACUUCCUCUGUCAUGAAGAUAAGGGACUGCUGGAAUGCUUGACCAAUGAGGAGGCACUGAAAUCCGUCAGUGAUUAUCUGGUCUCUAUGGACCCCAGUACCCCGCUUAUACCAGUUCAUCCACGGCCAUCCCAAAGAUGCUGUAUCUGUUUGGGUGUCUCUGCUUUUGUUGUUGUUGUUGUUGUUGUUAUUGGGCUAGUUAUUCCCUUUCUCAUUCCGAAAAGUGACGGACAUGGUGACACUCAAACUACGGUGAUACCUCCUAUAACUGUAACUACACAUCAGUCUAACAUAACUGUAACUACACAUCAGCGUAACAUAACUGUAACUACACAGCAGUCUAAGAUAACUGUAGCUACACAGCAGCGUAAGAAACGAUCCCUUCAGAGAGGCCGAGGCUAAUUCAUUAGUUUGGUGAACACCCAAGACUGUUGGGUUCGAGAUGAAAAGAUGGAGAUGAAACGAGAGUUUAGGAUUUCAGCUUUUAUUUCCUGGUGUUUACAUCUAGACGUGUUAAACAUAAAACAUACAACCUUUUGUAUCAGACCACCCACUUUUUAGGUGAGCAAAAGUAUAGGAACAGAUAAGUCUUGAAGUAAAUGAAAGUAAAUAACACUUAACAUUCGGCUGCGUGUCCCUUGCUUGAAAAAACUCAUCAAACUGCAUCAGUCCUGUGACUCACUGACACUUGUGUUGCUUCUCCAGGUUUCUCCUGCAGUUUCUUUCAGUAGUUGUGUGUUUCGGGGGUUUCUCCCUUCAGUCUCCUCUUCAGGAGGUGAGAUGAUCAGUUGGGUGAAGAGGAGACUGAAGGGAGAAACCCCCGAAACACACAACUACUGAAAGAAGCUGCAGUAAAAACCUGGAAAAGCAACACAAGUGUCAGUGAGUCACA
ensembl:lncRNA